AAUGAACGUUGGCGGCGUGGAUUAGGCAUGCAAGUCGAGGGAGAACCCGCAAGGGGGACACCGGCGAACGGGGUAGGAUCACGUAGGUGACGUACCCUCAGGGCGAGGAUAGCCACGGGAAACUGUGGGUAAUACUCGAUAACCUUCCCAAUCGUGAUAGAAGGGGAAGCAAUGGGUGUGAUUCCACCUGAGGAGCGGCUUACGCAGUAUCAGCUUGUUGGUGAGGUAACGGCUCACCAAGGCUUUGACGCUUAGGUGGUGUGAGAGCAUGGCCCCCACCACUGGCACUGAGACACUGGCCAGACACCUACGGGUGGCUGCAGUCGAGAAUCUUCGGCAAUGGACGAAAGUCUGACCGAGCGACGCCGCGUGCGGGAUGAAGGUCUUCGGAUUGUAAACCGCUGUCAGAGGGGAUGAAGUAUAUGAAAGCUAUCUUUUAUAUUUGACAGAGCCUCAGAGGAAGCACGGGCUAAGUUCGUGCCAGCAGCC
rnacentral:rRNA from 1 species